GAGGGGACACUCCCCUCCCAUACCCACCUCCGGCUCAGGCCUUCAGCUCUCAGAUAAUGCUGCACACUAUAGAUACACCCAUAAAUACUUAGGCCACCCCACCCAGUGAGACAUCGUAGGGGGGGCCCCCUUGAUAAACUAUAUCCUAAAGCCGCCACUGAUCUGAACCAAGGGGCUGCUCUGAGUCUUGAUCAAGGUAUACACAUAUACUAACCAUGGGAGGCACUUCACUUUGGCUGCUAGGAGUCCUGGGACCUGAUACAAAUAUUCUUGUUGAUCUUACCAAAGAUUUUACAUUUCUACAUGUUUAAACUUAAUGUACAACUUAAAAUAACCUACAAUUUACAUAUUUAUAUCAUGUCCAACAUAAGAUAGCCUACAUAAAAUGUUUCAUAUUGAUAUGAAAAUGAAUUUUUAUGAAAGAGAUUUGCUGCUUGUAAUUAUUAAUAUAUUGCUAUAAAUUAAAUACAGUUAAAAACUCAAAAGGUAUUUUUCUUUCACUAUACAGGUAAACUAUAAAAAAACAAAUGUUGCAUGUUUAUAUCAUGUGCAACAUAAGAUAGCCUAUAUAAAAUGUUACAUAUUGAUAUGAAAAAACUCUUUUUUUUAUGAAAGAGAUUUACUGCUUGUAAUUAAUAAUAUACUGCUAUACAUUAAAUGCAGUUAAAAACUCAACAGAUUAUUUUGUCACUAUACAGGUACACUAUACAAGAACAAAAUAACAUUCUUGAGAACGUGACUACCAACAUGCUGUGUGAACUGGGCGCACACAGCCAACAAAUUUACCUUCUUCUCUGCGUAAGCACUUGACAACAAUCAGAACCGGGCCAGGAAAAUGCGCAUGUCCAACAAAUACAAAUAUUAUCCCACAACGCAUGUGUGUGUAUGUUUUCACACUGCUGUUGUGUAAGACCUUAGGAACAAUAUAUAUAUAUAUAUAUAUAUAUAUAUUUUUUUUUUUUUUUUUUUUUUUUCAACCAUAUUUAUAGAAGGUGACCAGCGUAUCCUACAAGGUCGGCUCAAUUAAAGUUAAUUCAAAUCUAUUUGAGCAAUUCAACAAAUUACAAAUAACAAAACAAUGAACAAUAAAAAGAUAAUUUAGUAAAACAUACAGCUCAGGAUAACCCCAAAAAACUGAAUCGGUUUAUUUCCGUUGGGAUCCCUUAAAAAAAAAUAUAUACAGUAUAUACAACCUGGUUAAAAACUAAAACAAACAUUAAAAUUUGUUAAAAUUUUUAAAAUUACUGAUGAAAGUAAAACUAAUAAAAGAAAUAAAACCCAUUAAACCUUAAAAGUACUGUAUGUAGACGUGAAUGUAAAAAAUCAGGUAAAAAAACAAACAUUAAAAUUUGUUAUAAACCUUUAAAAUUACUUAUAAAAUCAAUAGAAACUCUAGUUAAACCUUUAAAGUAUGUAAAAGUAAUAUCCAUGGAAUCACGCUGUCUGUCCAGUUUCAAUCCCAGACUAACUAUGGAUUUAAUUGUUUGGAUCACUCACUCCCAUAAUAUAUACACCAAUGAAACCAAAUGUGCCAAAUUUGAAAAUUAGGUAAUAGUGAACAUUUCUACCAUGAGACUGGUAACUGAUACAUAUUUUAGUUUACAAUUGCAUUUGAUAUAAUAGCUAUGGUACACUAUAAGCUUUUAAAUGUCAUCAAAUGACCAUUAAAAUGUGCAAAAUGCAAAUACACAAAAUAAAUUCACUGGUGGAUCCAGGGAUUUGCAAUAGAGGGGGGGGGGGCAGAGAGGGACUUUCACAGAUGCAGGGUCUUACAUCAGCCCCAACCAGGGAAGAAAAUUUAUGGUUAUGGCACCUCUAAAGGCUGGAAAUGAAACUCUUAGACUCAUUUUUUUUAUAAUUUUGAAAAAAAAAAUACACUACUAUUCGGCUAGCUUAAAAGUAUGUUCAGUAUGUCCUGUGCACAAGAAUAAGACCCUACUGACAGUGGCAUACCUAGAUAUUUAUAGGCCUAGUACUGUGCAUGAGGAAUCAGGGGAGUGGGAAGACAUGGAUGUAGAGGAUCAAAAAAUAAAGUGAACUAGCUGGCAAAAACAGUGAUAUUAGGUGACUUAGUGUAAGUUUUUACUGUAAUUUCCAGUAGUGGGGCAGGAGUGGGGGAGGGCAAGCUAUUUAAAGGGGACAUGUCCCCCUAUGCUGUCAUACUGUAGAUAACAUUUUGAGUACAUGGCAUGGGAGCCAUAUUGAAUAUACAGUACCAUUCACUCAUGAGUUUGUCCAUCUCACAAGGAAUGUAUUCAUUUUUUGGGUAUGGGCAGUGGCGGCCAGGGGUUCUUAAACUCCCCAUCGGUCUGGUCAAGCCCCCCCCCCACCAACGGCCAAAGCUCAUCAGGCAGUCGGACAAAAAAAAGGGGGGGGGGCGCUAGUUUUCCUAUCCCAGCCUUCUGAAAAUUAAAUAAGCCAGUUUGAACUAUGCAUGCCUAUAUCAUGGGCAUUUGACAAAUAUACUGUUUUAAAAUUAUAAUUCAAUGUGUUUAUUAUUUUUCAAGGAUUUCAGCUUAAAGUAUGCUUUAUUUGAGUUCCCUUUUCCAUUGAUCACAAGAAAUGGACAUCUUGAUUGUUUUAUUUAUGGAAUAAAGUUUACUUAACUUAAAAAGUUUACUUUUUAAGUGUAAGUGUAAAUUUUAUUAAUUAAAAAGCAAACGUACACACAACAUAGGUUUGGUCUGUCAGGGUGUGAGUUGUGGUGAAUUAUAGCAAUGCAGUGUUGAUGCCCUUUGUGAUGCAGAUGUAGUGUGCUUGAUAUGUAAAUGUGCAGAUUGGCAUGCGCCAGUGUUUAAGCUGAAUCCCAGGCUGAAUCAACUGUCUGAAAGCAGUUGAUAGCCUAUGCUAGAGUUAAGUGGUGGUUUGAGCUACAAGAAGAAAAUGUUACAAUUUGUUACUUUGACUAAAGGGCAUCCGAGUCUCAGCAGGUGGCAAGGCUUUUUGUACAGAAGCGGACUCGAUCCUUACAAUGUCAAUUAACCUUCGACACAGACAGGCACAGUUCAAACUCCGAAUUGGCAAACAGAAAUAUUGUUGACACUGAGACGCAACAAGGGCUAUACACACUUACGGUUGUUCGCAGGCCACUACAAAGUCACCUUCAGGUCGUAUAUGUGAGGUCUCACCACGAAAUGAGAUGCAUCGUUGGUGAAAUUAUAUUGAGACAUUCACCAAAACAGGCCAAAGUCAACAUUUUUACAAAAUUUUGAUUUUAAUGUUUUUGAAUAACUUGUU
rnacentral:lncRNA from 1 species